rnacentral:rRNA from 1 species
UACGGAGGGUUCGAGCGUUAAUCGGAAUUACUGGGCGUAAAGCGUGCGCAGGCGGUUUGUUAAGCGAGAUGUGAAAGCCCUGGGCUCAACCUAGGAAUAGCAUUUCGAACUGGCGAACUAGAGUCUUGUAGAGGGGGGUAGAAUUCCAGGUGUAGCGGUGAAAUGCGUAGAGAUCUGGAGGAAUACCGGUGGUGAAGGCGGCCCCCUGGACAAAGACUGACGCUCAGGUGUGAAAGCGUGGGGAGCAAACAGG